CUGCAACACUAUACACGCGUCAGCUACUACAACGACUGAAAUGACUGCAACACUAUACACGCGUCAGCUACUACAACGGCUGAAAUGACUGCAACACUAUACACGCGUCGGCUAGUACAACGACUGAAAUGACUCAACACUAUACACGCGUCAGCUACUACAACGACUGAAAUGACUAUCAACAAGGCAGGUCCUACAGGCCCUAGUUUCUACCUUGUUAACAACACUAUCAACAAGGCAGGUCCUACAGGCCCUAGUUUCUACCUUCUUAACAACACUAUCAACAAGGCAGGUCCUACAGGCCCUAGUUUCUACCUUCUUAACAACACUAUCAACAAGGCAGGUCCUACAGGCCCUAGUUUCUACCUUGUUAACAACACUAUCAACAAGGCAGGUCCUACAGGCCCUAGUUUCUACCUUCUUAACAGCACUAUCAACAAGGCAGGUCCUACAGGUCCUAGUUUCUACCUUCUUAACAACACUAUCAACAAGGCAGGUCCUACAGGCCCUAGUUUCUACCUUCUUAACAACACUAUCAACAAGGCAGGUCCUACAGGCCCUAGUUUCUACCUUGUUAACA